GACGAACGCUGGCGGCGUGCUUAACACAUGCAAGUCGAACGGAAAGGCCCUGCUUUUGUGGGGUGCUCGAGUGGCGCGCGGGUGAGUAUAACGUGUGUAACAUCCCCUUGACUUUGGGAUAACUUCUGGAAACUGGGGCUCAUAUCCCAUAGGAGCUCCUGCUGCAUAGUGGGGGUUGGUCAGUUUCGGCGGUUGGGGAUGGACUGGCGGCUUAUCAGCUUGUUGGUGGGGUAGUGGCUUACCAAGGGUUUGACGGGUAGCCGGCCUGAGAGGGUGACCGGCGACAAUGGGACUGAGAUACGGCCCAGACUGGUACGGGAGGCAGCAGUGGGGAGUAUGGCAGAAUGGGCGGAAGCCUGAUGCAGCAACGCCGCGUGCGGGAUGACGGCCUACGAGUUGUAAACCACUGUCUCCUGUGACGAAGAGUGAGUGACGGUAACGGGUAAAGAAGCACCGGCUAACUACGUG
rnacentral:rRNA from 1 species